rnacentral:misc_RNA from 1 species
CCAAGGGCACUGCUGGCAAUUGAAUACAAUCUCAGCUUGUGAGGCUUCCCAUUCUUGUCGACACCAUCUGGAAUUACACCAACAGAUUGCCCUUCUCUGUACGGAACCUCUCCCUCAGUGCUGAACACCAUGUGCCAAGUUUCUCCAGGAGCAUCAUCACCAGUGAUCUUAGUAUUCAAAAGGCAUCUACCAAUAUAAGGGUUUUUAGGCUUGAACUUGUUAACGAUCACACCUUCCUCCAUUUUUUUGGAUUCCUUCUGAACCUUAGUAGGAGCCUCAGUGGUGACCUGGGCUCUGAUGCAAACCAC